CACCUGAUACAAGCAAGAUUACCCGCUGAACUUAAGCAUAUCAGUAAGCGGAGGAAAAGAAACUAACUAGGAUAGCCCCAGUAAUGGCGAAUGAACAGGCUAAAGCUCAAAGUGAAAAUCUGGAAACAGAAUUGUAAUCUAAAGAGUUAACCCAAAGCUAAGCUCCUCGCAUAAGUUCCUUGGAACAGGACGUCAAAGAGGGUGACAACCCCGUAGUCGGUGAGGAAUGCUGGUGAAGGGAAGGCUUCAAAGAGUCGGGUUGUUUGGGAUUGCAGCCCUAAGUGGGAGAUAAACUUCUUCUAAAGCUAAAUAUACACGGGAGACCGAUAGCGAACAAGUACUGCGAAGGAAAGAUGAAAAGAACUUUGAAAAGAGGGUUAAAAGACUUGAAACCGUUGAGAAGGAAGCUGUAGAAGAGCAAUAAACUGGACGGCGCAUAAGGGGGAAGUGUUACUCACUGCGGAGUCGAUACGAAAGGUCGAUGAGUAAGGAAAGGACACAGAACUUGCUACGCCGGUCAGAAGACAAAAUGAGUUCAGAUUGAAGGAGUCACCUGAGAUCGGGGGUCAAACCAGAUCAAAAGGGAAACUUCAGACUGGACUGAGGGGCCUAAGGGCGAUUUGUCAAAA
rnacentral:rRNA from 1 species